rnacentral:lncRNA from 1 species
UCUUUACUUCUCAGUUAUUCUCAAAAGUUGAUCAGUCUCUUUCUUAUUGUUUCCUCUCUGUGCAGGAGACAGAUGGCAGGUGUUUCACAAUUACAAGUCACUGUGUGCUACUUCCACGGCUGUAAAGUUGAAAGAGUGACUUCAGCUCCCAUUCAUUCUCAGCUUGUUUGUUGUUUCGGCUUAAAUGUCUGCAGACCAGAAUCAAUGAAAUUAAAGGAGCAAAAGCACUGGGAAAUAACUAUUCAGCAUCCACACAGUUAUCAAAAGAAAUAUUCAAGAUCAAACACUUCCUAA